GUGAGAACCCUUUUCGUAGAAAGCACAAGCCCCGUCGACGUUCAUUUACCUUCAGCCAGCAGUGGUGUGCACCGCUACCACCACGACGUUCCUCACCGUUCCUCGAUCAAAACCCCUCCUCUUAUUCAUCGAAAACCAUCGCCAAUCGACAUGGAAAACUCGGUGAAGCUCCGUCGAAACCCACCGUUAUUUUUUUUCACGAUUUAGACCACCGUGAGCGUUCAUAGGUCGCGUCACCGCCGCCAUUCGACUUAUCGUCCCAUCCCGGUCAAAACUCGACCAACCUUGCCCCGGAUAAUGUUGUCGUUCACCGUAAAUUAGUCAGAAAAAUCUAUUCGAAAAACCCCAACCCCGCCACUGUUAUUGUGCCUUUCAGCUGAUUUUGUCGUCGGUUUGCCUCACUGCCACAACCAUCGAGUUCCCCGACCUGUUCUGGCCAAAACCCAAUCGAUAUCUUUCCCUCCUGUCACCAUUUCCUCCGUCCGCAGUGAAGGGUACCCGUGUUUCUUCUGACCCGUCGAAUGCCCAGCCCAACUCCUCUCGUCUCGUCCGACAAUUGAGACCAGUGUUCAGUAGAUCUCUCAACCCGACCCAUUUUGCAAGGUGUGUUCCUUGUGUGCUACAUAUAUGUUUUUAAAUAUCUGUAUGAAUCAA